GACAGCAGUCGCCACGGUAAUACGAAGGGUGCAAGCGUUAAUCGGAAUUACUGGGCGUAAAGUGCGCGUAGGUGGUUUGUUAAGUUGGAUGUGAAAUCCCCGGGCUCAACCUGGGAACUGCAUCCAAAACUGGCAAGCUAGAGUAUGGUAGAGGGUGGUGGAAUUUCCUGUGUAGCGGUGAAAUGCGUAGAUAUAGGAAGGAACACCAGUGGCGAAGGCGACCACCUGGACUGAUACUGACACUGAGGUGCGAAAGCGUGGGGAGCAAACAGGAUUAGAUACCCCGGUAGUCCCUGUCUCUUAUAC
rnacentral:rRNA from 1 species